GGGGCUGGGGAUAUAACUCAGUUGGUAGAGUGCUUGCCUCAUGAACACGAGGCUCUGGGUUCAAUCCCCAGCAGCCCCC